GAGUAACCUGCCCCCGAGAGCGGGAUAGCCCUGGGAAACUGGGAUUAAUACCGCAUAGUAUCGAAAGAUUAAAGCAGCAAUGCGCUUGGGGAUGGGCUCGCGGCCUAUUAGUUAGUUGGUGAGGUAACGGCUCACCAAGGCGAUGACGGGUAGCCGGUCUGAGAGGAUGUCCGGCCACACUGGAACUGAGACACGGUCCAGACACCUACGGGUGGCAGCAGUCGAGAAUCAUUCACAAUGGGGGAAACCCUGAUGGUGCGACGCCGCGUGGGGGAAUGAAGGUCUUCGGAUUGUAAACCCCUGUCAUGUGGGAGCAAAUUAAAAAGAUAGUACCACAAGAGGAAGAGACGGCUAACUCUGUGCCAGCAGCCGCGGUAAUACAGAGGUCUCAAGCGUUGUUCGGAAUCACUGGGCGUAAAGCGUGCGUAGGCUGUUUCGUAAGUCGUGUGUGAAAGGCGCGGGCUCAACCCGCGGACGGCACAUGAUACUGCGAGACUAGAGUAAUGGAGGGGGAACCGGAAUUCUCGGUGUAGCAGUGAAAUGCGUAGAUAUCGAGAGGAACACUCGUGGCGAAGGCGGGUUCCUGGACAUUAACUGACGCUGAGGCACGAAGGCCAGGGGAGCGAAAGGGAUUAGAUACCCCUGUAGUCCUGGCAGUAAACGGUGCACGCUUGGUGUGCGGGGAAUCGACCCCCUGCGUGCCGGAGCUAACGCGUUAAGCGUGCCGCCUGGGGAGUACGGUCGCAAGAUUAAAACUCAAAGAAAUUGACGGGGACCCGCACAAGCGGUGGAGUAUGUGGCUUAAUUCGAUGCAACGCGAAGAACCUUACCUGGGCUUGACAUGUAAUGAACAACAUGUGAAAGCAUGCGACUCUUCGGAGGCGUUACACAGGUGCUGCAUGGCCGUCGUCAGCUCGUGUCGUGAGAUGUUUGGUUAAGUCCAGCAACGAGCGCAACCCCUGUUGCCAGUUACCAGCACGUGAAGGUGGGGACUCUGGCGAGACUGCCCAGAUCAACUGGGAGGAAGGUGGGGACGACGUCAGGUCAGUAUGGCCCUUAUGCCCAGGGCUGCACACGUACUACAAUGCCCAGUACAGAGGGGGCCGAAGCCGCGAGGCGGAGGAAAUCCUAAAAACUGGGCCCAGUUCGGACUGUAGGCUGCAACCCGCCUACACGAAGCCGGAAUCGCUAGUAAUGGCGCAUCAGCUACGGCGCCGUGAAUACGUUCCCGGGUCUUGUACACACCGCCCGUCACAUCAUGGAAGCCGGUCGCACCCGAAGUAUCUGAAGCCAACCGCAAGGAGGCAGGGUCCUAAGGUGAGACUGGUAACUGGGAUGAAGUCGUAACAAGGUAGCCGUAGGGGAACCCUGUCUCUU
rnacentral:rRNA from 1 species